GCUGCCUCUUCAUCGCCUGAUUAAAUGCAUGGUUGGUCGCUGAAUUAAUGCGUUUGUGUCGAAAGAUGAAUGCACCACUGUAAUCUUAAAAAAGGAAAGCAAACACCUACUUUUCAGUGAAUUCACCCAGUGCAGUGCUUGUUGCUGGGCUGGUAAUAUUGGUAUUAUUUGCUUCAAACGUUUAUUUUCAAUCGGUGCACAUAGAGAAAUACAAAAUAGUGAGAUGAAAGGCAAUAAUUCAUAUGUCCUCUUUUAAUGAGUAAAUAUUAUUGUUUUAUAGAAACACAUGACACUAUGCUAAUGGAUGGACAGGCUAAUAAUGCAGCUAAUUGGCUAGCUGCUUUAUGUUGACGUGUCUGGGUCUUUGGAAGUCAGCAGUGUACAUUAGUGAUCCAUGGUUUCUUGGUCUCCAUGCCUUUAAGUGGAACGUGUUAUUUAUCUUGGCUCAUACAAAGCAUAAAAUGAAAAAAAAAAUCUAAAGAACGACUGGAUGAAAAGCAGCAAUAAAACAGAAUCACACCAGUUUCAACAGUGGAGGGAGCUGCCAUGGAAAAUCACUGAGACUGUGGUGGACCUGCGUGGAAAAUCACUGCGAACAUAUCAGCACAGCACGGAGAAUGAUUGAAACCCUGGAAACGUUGCAUUUAAUCACCGAGACUACGGCAGCAGGUUAAUGAGGAGAAACACUUAAACUGGGGGGCAGAUCAAUGAAAAGACACUCAAAGAAUGGAGAGAAUCAAUGGCAGGAGCCACUGAGACCGGGCGGGUCAAUGGGGAGAACCGGGGAGACUCUAGACUGGCUGAAGCGGAGCGUGGCUGAGACUCCGGCCCGGGCCAGACCGACGCGGCGAAUAAGCGCGGCUCGCGCGGGCCCUUUGCGGACGAGGCCGCGGGUCGCUCGAGUCUGCGGAGGAGGACGAAUGCAUCACACGGCCGCCCAAGGGAAGAAGUGACGGCGGAUCGGGGAGAAGAGGGUGGCACGGCCAACGCCGCUGAGUGCGCGUCCAGGCCGUCGUACCGCGUUGUCCUCUCACACGCCCUGCUCCCGGGAGCCAGAAAGAUCUUUUUAAAAAUGUAUUUAUUUAAAAGAAAGAAAAGAAAAAAAAGAAAAGGCACACGCUUCACGCCAGUCCCAGCGCGCGCGUGGCUCCAGGCCCCAGGCCCGGCAGCGACCCGGAGUGAGGCGAGGACAGCGGGGAGCAAAGCCUGCCUUUGGCCGCGUGGCGUCAGCCGUGCCAUCCACUCCUCCAUGACGCGCUCUCACUCUGUGGCACACGGUGUUCCACAUUACCCACCUGCCCACUCGGCCCGCGGGUCUGCUCCUCUCUCAGCUCUCCCUCUCCCUCCCUCUCCCGGCGCCGAACUCCGCUGAAUUAAUCAUCAGAGCGCCCCGCCGAAUUCGGAUCCUGUCACGCGUCCCGCCACAGACCGGAGGAGCCGCGGCGCUGGGACGGGGACGCUUCUGACCUCCUCUCUCUCUCCGUAACGUUUUCACCACCCAGCAAAGAGCGUCUGGCUGUGGAAGAAUCUUCCACAGCCGCUGGGACGCACCGAGAAGCACCCAGCCGCUAGCUGCUGCAGGACUGUGAGUCUUUUACCAUGUCGCCCUGAUUUAAAUACGCAAAUAAAAUAUUUUGGUGAUAUAAGAUCA